GACGAACGCUGGCGGCGUGCUUAACACAUGCAAGUCGAACGGAAAGGCCCUGCUUUUGUGGGGUGCUCGAGUGGCGAACGGGUGAGUAACACGCGAGUAACCUGCCCUUGACUUUGGGAUAACUUCAGGAAACUGGGGCUAAUACCGGAUAGGAGCUCCUGCUGCAUGGUGGGGGUUGGAAAGUUUCGGCGGUUGGAGAUGGACUCGCGGCUUAUCAGCUUGUUGGUGGGGUAGUGGCUUACCAAGGCUUUGACGGGUAGCCGGCCUGAGAGGGUGACCGGCCACAUUGGGACUGAGAUACGGCCCAGACUCCUACGGGAGGCAGCAGUGGGGAAUAUUGCACAAUGGGCGGAAGCCUGAUGCAGCAACGCCGCGUGCGGGAUAACGGCCUUCGGGUUGUAAACCGCUUUCGCCUGUGACGAAGCGUGAGUGACGGUAAUGGGUAAAGAAGCACCGGCUAACUACGUG
rnacentral:rRNA from 1 species